UACAGAGGUCUCAAGCGUUGUUCGGAUUCAUUGGGCGUAAAGGGUGUGUAGGUGGCGCCGUAAGUCGGGGUGUGAAAUCUCGGAGCUCAACUCCGAAAUUGCACUGGAUACUGCUCUGCUAGAGGGCUGGAGAGGAGAUCGGAAUUCACGGUGUAGCAGUGAAAUGCGUAGAUAUCGUGAGGAAGACCAGUGGCGAAGGCGGAUCUCUGGACAGCUCCUGACGCUGAGGCGCGAAGGCUAGGGGAGCAAACGGG
rnacentral:rRNA from 1 species